rnacentral:rRNA from 1 species
AACGGAGGGGGCUAGCGUUGUUCGGAAUUACUGGGCGUAAAGCGCGCGUAGGCGGAUCUGCAAGUCAGGGGUGAAAUCCCGAGGCUCAACCUCGGAACUGCCCUUGAUACUGCGGGUCUUGAGUCCGAGAGAGGUGAGUGGAAUUCCUAGUGUAGAGGUGAAAUUCGUAGAUAUUAGGAAGAACACCAGUGGCGAAGGCGGCUCACUGGUCCGGUACUGACGCCGAGGUGCGAAAGCGUGGGGAGCAAACAGG